rnacentral:rRNA from 1 species
GAUUGAACGCUGGCGGCAGGCCUAACCCAUGCAAGUCGAACGGUAACAGGAAGCAGCUUGCUGCUUUGCUGACGAGUGGCGGACGGGUGAGUAAUGUCUGGGAAACUGCCCGAUGGAGGGGGAUAACUACUGGAAACGGUAGCUAAUACCGCAUAACGUCGCAAGACCAAAGAGGGGGACCUUAGGGCCUCUUGCCAUCGGAUGUGCCCAGAUGGGAUUAGCUAGUAGGUGGGGUAACGGCUCACCUAGGCGACGAUCCCUAGCUGGUCUGAGAGGAUGACCAGCCACACUGGAACUGAGACACGGUCCAGACUCCUACGGGAGGCAGCAGUGGGGAAUAUUGCACAAUGGGCGCAAGCCUGAUGCAGCCAUGCCGCGUGUAUGAAGAAGGCCUUCGGGUUGUAAAGUACUUUCAGCGGGGAGGAAGGGAGUAAAGUUAAUACCUUUGCUCAUUGACGUUACCCGCAGAAGAAGCACCGGCUAACUCCGUG